ACAGAGGGUGCAAGCGUUGCUCGGAAUCAUUGGGCGUAAAGGGUGAGUAGGUGGUCUCGUUUGUCUAGGGUGAAAUCCAUGAGCUUAACUCAAGAAGUGCCCUGGAAACGGCGAGACUAGAGUCCUGGAGAGGGUCGUGGAAUUCCCGGUGUAGCGGUGAAAUGCGUAGAGAUCGGGAGGAACACCAGAGGCGAAGGCGGCGACCUGGACAGGUACUGACACUGAAUCACGAAAGCGUGGGGAGCAAACAGGA
rnacentral:rRNA from 1 species